UGGGGAAUAUUGCACAAUGGGGGAAACCCUGAUGCAGCAACGCCGCGUGAAGGAAGAAGGUUUUCGGAUCGUAAACUUCUAUCAACAGGGACGAAACAAAUGACGGUACCUGAAUAAGAAGCCCCGGCUAACUACGUGCCAGCAGCCGCGGUAAUACGUAGGGGGCAAGCGUUAUCCGGAAUUACUGGGUGUAAAGGGAGCGUAGGCGCACGUCAAGCCAGAUGUGAAAGCCCGGGGCUUAACCCCGUGGAUUGCAUUUGGAACUGGCGAGCUAGAGUACAGGAGAGGAAAGCGGAAUUCCUAGUGUAGCGGUGAAAUGCGUAGAUAUUAGGAAGAACACCAGUGGCGAAGGCGGCUUUCUGGACUGAAACUGACGCUGAGGCUCGAAAGCGUGGGGAGCAAACAGGAUUAGAUACCC
rnacentral:rRNA from 1 species